rnacentral:rRNA from 1 species
UACGGAGGGUGCAAGCGUUAAUCGGAAUUACUGGGCGUAAAGCGCGCGUAGGCGGCUUAGUAAGUCGGGUGUGAAAGCCCCGGGCUCAACCUGGGAAUUGCAUCCGAUACUGCUUGGCUAGAGUGUGAUAGAGGGAAGUGGAAUUCCAGGUGUAGCGGUGAAAUGCGUAGAUAUCUGGAGGAACAUCAGUGGCGAAGGCGGCUUCCUGGAUCAACACUGACGCUGAGGUGCGAAAGCGUGGGGAGCAAACAGG